rnacentral:rRNA from 1 species
GAGUUUGAUCCUGGCUCAGGAUGAACGCUAGCGGCAGGCCUAACACAUGCAAGUCGAACGGUAACAUGAGAGCUUGCUCUUGAUGACGAGUGGCGCACGGGUGAGUAACGCGUAUGCAAUCUACCUAUAACUGAGGAAUAGCCCAGAGAAAUUUGGAUUAAUACCUCAUAAUAAUAUUAUUUGGCAUCAUUUAAUAUUUAANACUCCGGUGGUUAUAGAUGAGCAUGCGUUCUAUUAGUUAGUUGGUGAGGUAAGAGCUCACCAAGACUUCGAUAGAUAGGGGGCCUGAVAGGUGAUCCCCCACACUGGUACUGAGACACGGACCAGACUCCUACGGGAGGCAGCAGUGAGGAAUAUUGCACAAUGGAGGAAACUCUGAUGCAGCCAUGCCGCGUGCMGGACGAAUGCCCUAUGGGUUGUAAACUGCUUUUUUACAAGAAGAAACCUUGGUACGUGUACCAACUUGACGGUAUUGUAAGAAUAAGCACCGGCUAACUCCGUGCCAGCAGCCGCGGUAAUACGGAGGGUGCAAGCGUUAUCCGGAUUUAUUAGGUUUAAAGGGUUCGCAGGCGGAAUUUUAAGUCAGUGGUGAAAGCCUAUAGCUCAACUAUAGAACUGCCACUGAUACUGAUAUUCUUGAGUAUAGAUGAAGUGGGCGGAAUAUGUCAUGUAGCGGUGAAAUGCAUAGAUAUGACAUGGAACACCAAUUGCGAGGGCAGCUCACUAAACUAUUACUGACGCUCAUGAACGAMAGCCUGGGGAGCGAACAGGAUUAGAUACCCUGGUAGUCCAUGCUGUAAACUAUGAUCACUAGAUGUUGGCGAUAUACUGUCAGUGUUUAAGAGAAAUCGUUAAGUGAUCCACCUGGGGAGUACGUUCGCAAGAAUGAMACUCAAAGGAAUUGACGGGGGCCGCCCAAGCGGAGGAACAUGUGGUUUACUCCG